rnacentral:rRNA from 1 species
GAUGAACGCUAGCGGCAGGCCUAAUACAUGCAAGUCGAACGGUGUCUUCGGACAUAGUGGCGCACGGGUGCGUAACACGUAUGCAACCUACCUUACAUUGGGGGAUAGCCUUUCGAAAGGGAGAUUAAUACCGCAUAAGACAGUAGCUGGGCAUCCAGCAGCUGUUAAAGAUUUAUCGAUGUAAGCUGGGCAUGCGUCCAAUUAGCUAGUUGGUGAGGUAACGGCUCACCAAGGCAAUGAUUGGUAGGGGAACUGAGAGGUCAAUCCCCCACACUGGCACUGAGAUACGGGCCAGACUCCUACGGGAGGCAGCAGUAGGGAAUAUUGGGCAAUGGACGCAAGUCUGACCCAGCCAUGCCGCGUGCAGGAUGAAGGCGUUAUGCGUUGUAAACUGCUUUUAUACAGGAAGAAACGACUCUUGCGAGAGGCAUUGACGGUACUGUAUGAAUAAGCACCGGCUAACUCCGUGCCAGCAGCCGCGGUAAUACGGAGGGUGCAAGCGUUGUCCGGAUUUAUUGGGUUUAAAGGGUGCGCAGGUGGUUUAUUAAGUCAGUGGUGAAAGACGGUCGCUCAACGAUUGCAGUGCCAUUGAAACUGGUAGACUUGAGUAAAGUAGAGGUGGGCGGAAUUGAUAGUGUAGCGGUGAAAUGCAUAGAUAUUAUCAAGAACUCCAAUUGCGUAGGCAGCUCACUUGGCUUUU